rnacentral:rRNA from 1 species
GACGAACGCUGGCGGCGUGCUUAACACAUGCAAGUCGAACGGAAAGGCCCUGCUUUUGUGGGGUGCUCGAGUGGCGAACGGGUGAGUAACACGUGAGUAACCUGCCCUUGACUUUGGGAUAACUUCAGGAAACUGGGGCUAAUACCGGAUAGGAGCUCCUGCUGCAUGGUGGGGGUUGGAAAGUUUCGGCGGUUGGGGAUGGACUCGCGGCUUAUCAGCUUGUUGGUGGGGUAGUGGCUUACCAAGGCUUUGACGGGUAGCCGGCCUGAGAGGGUGACCGGCCACAUUGGGACUGAGAUACGGACCAGACUCCUACGGGAGGCAGCAGUGGGGAAUAGUGCACAAUGGGCGGAAGCCUGAUGCAGCAACGCCGCGUGCGGGAGGACGGCCUUCGGGUGGUAAACCGCUUUCGCCUGUGACGAAGCGUGAGUGACGGUAAUGGGUAAAGAAGCACCGGCUAACUACGU